rnacentral:lncRNA from 1 species
UUUUUUUUUUCUUUUUUGGCUACACUUGAGGCAUAUGGAAGUUCCAGGCCAGGGAUCAAAUCCAAGAUGCAGCUGCAACCUAUGCCACAAUUGCAGCAAAGCCAGAUCCUUCAUCUACUGCACUAGGCUGGGGAUUGAUCCUGCACUGCUGCACAGAAAAUGCCAGAUCUAUAACCUGGUACACCACAGCAGGAACUCCAGGAAGCCAUUCUCAGUAUCUGGCUGAUGCAACUUCUAGAGGAUGUAUAGGUCCAGCACCUUUCUUUAAAUCCCUUAAUUUUUCUUUUUUAAAAAAUUUUUGGGAGCCUGAUCAUUCCAAAACACUCACAUAUAUAAGAAAAUUUAGAAACUCAUCAUAAAUACCCAGGGAGAGAAGUAGGCUCAGAAAACAGAAUCGAAGGGAGAAUCAACCAUGUCUACAGUAAUAGGGAGACUUCAGUACUUCAUUAUCAAUAAGGUACUAUCAUAAAACUAGAUAGAAGAUAAAUAAGGAAAUAGAGAACCUGAACAACACAAGAAACCAUCUAGAUCCGACCUAUAUAGAACACUGUAUCAAAUGGACAACAGGACCUUUUCCAGAAGAGACUAUAUGUUAGGUCACAAAUUGAGUCUCAGCAGAGAGAGCUAUGAUACAAAAUUUCUUUUAUGACCAUAACAGGAUGAGGUUAUAAUAAAAUCAUGGGAUGUAGUGAAAACAGUGCUAAGGGGCAAUUUAUAGCUAAAUAAUAUGAAAAGAUUGGAAAAAUUUGCCAGAGUCAGGAUAAGCCAGACUACUUAAAAAUGUAUUCAUUUUUUUCCCAAGGAAAAAAAAAUAUGAAAACAAAUUUCCAGUGUGUUGGUUAGAAACAUCAUUCUUGCACUCCUUUCUUUGGCAAAGCACGAAGAGUGCACGGAGGCUACUCUUGCUCUUGAAUACAGCACAGAAAAGGCAGAUGUAUGGGAAACACUGCUUGGCAGCCUCAAGUGGUAUACACCAGGCAGACUAGCAAAAACUACAUAACGAUGCCCAGGAUCCUAAAAGCCCCUGGCAUCAUAAUGGCGAGACAGUACCCCCACGAGCAUCACACUGUUACCUACUCUGGAUUGUUGCUCUCUGUCAAAUCAGGCAGAACCAGAAAUCCCUGGGGCUUCUUAUCCUCAACAGCCAUCACAGACACAGGUCUAGGAGGUUGCUCAGAACUUGUAGCCUGGCUUGUGUUUCUGGUGUUGGACCAGCAGGGGGUUACAGGAGGCCCCUGAGGCCUACCUGGUUGGCCUGUUUGGAGAUAUCAACCUCUGUGCUCUCUGUGCCAGGAGGGUCACCUUCCUGCUCAGGACCUGCAGCUGCCAAGGGGCUUCCAUGGAACAACCACUUGGCUUGUGGGCUCAGGAUAAGACAUUGCUCAUCCUCUUAUGGAGAUUGGAUGUUGGAUUUUGCCUUUUCCAAGGAUAAGUCACCAAAAUACAUGAAGCAAACUGGCAAAAUAAAGGCCUGAAACCCUCACUCCCAUUUUAAAUAUAAUAUGUAGAUAUAAAGCAUUAAUGUAGGGAAUGAGGGUUUCACAAUUAAAAUCAAUGGCAACUUAAUGGUUUCUGGAACAUACUUAUGUACUGUGGAUUCCAUCUUUUACCUAUAAUCUUCUAUACCUGUUUUCCUAUGUCUUGUGACUACUGUCUGCUUUUGUGCUAUUCUAAUAACUUUGAUAUGAAAAUAAAUACUGUCAAAUAAAAGUUGUUUUUGGCUCAUCACUCCAUUUGAUUUCACCUCACCUACUGCUGAAGCAUUUACAAGUACAGUCAUUCCCACACCACUGAUGGCAGUUAAAUUUUUCUUAAGAAUAUGGAGGGGCCUCUGAGAAUUCAGCUCAAUCUUGUCUCAAGGUCCUGUCAAAAUUCUCCCUGACCCAGAAGAUGAAUUCUCAAAUUCUGGCCUAAGUCAUGCCCCCAUGAACUCUGUACAAUGGCAGGAGACCAUCUACUACUUGAAACAGUGAUUUUUUUAAGGUUUUAACACACCUAUGGGGAUGAUAUUCCUCAUUGAGUUUACCAUGAUGUGAGUCCAUUAUGCAGGAGAACUCAGGAUGCAGUUCCUGGCUUAAAAGGCAUCAUCAGUGGGUCCCACCUGAAAUCACCUCCAGUAUAGUAAGCAAACAGUGGCCACUGAAAGGGGUGUGUGUGUGUGUGUGUGUGUGUGUGUGUGUGUGUGUGUGAGUGUGUGCACGCACGUGCACAUGCAUGUUUGUUAGUCCCAUCUUGAAGCAUGACUUCUCUCUAGAAUAUUUACACAUGUGGUGUGGAACUUCUACCCUGGAAGGACCUGGAAGAGAGAACCCAAGUGACAAUACUCCAGUUUAGUUUGGACUUUAAAAAGCUUCCAUCAGAGAGAACCUCUGGCAGGUGACAGGAGAGGUUGAAUAAUGGGGGGCGAUUUCUGCUGUCUUUGUGGAAAAGCAAUUUCCUGGAAACUGGACACUUAGAAAAUGUUUGGGGCUGAGGCAUGUCAACCAGCAUGCAGACCACAGUCUUCCAAAAUUUUAGGAAUGGUGUCAGAUAGAGAAAAGACUCUGAGAGUGUGAGGAACUCCCACCUACCCAUCACAUCAAGGCUGAAUCUCCUUUAGGCCUAAUUUAUUAUUUUAUCAUCAGUUAUAAUCUGGCUUCAUGCUCUUUAAGGAUAGAGCAGACCAUUAGUAUAACAGAAUGUUCUAUAUAGAUUGUGGUAGUGUUUACAAAGGUGUAUAAAUUUUCAAAAUGCAUUAAAAGGCACCAAAAAUACAUAUAUGAAUUAUACAUUAAUACAGUUGAUUUUUGAUUUUUAAUUAUUUACAGACACUUACUUUGAUUUUU